GACGAACGCUGGCGGCGUGCCUAAUACAUGCAAGUCGAGCGAAGUUUUUCUGGUGCUUGCACUAGAAAAACUUAGCGGCGAACGGGUGAGUAACACGUAAAGAACCUGCCUCAUAGACUGGGACAACUAUUGGAAACGAUAGCUAAUACCGGAUAACAGUAUUUCUCGCAUGAGAGAUAUUUAAAAGUUGGUUAUGCUAACACUAUGAGAUGGCUUUGCGGUGCAUUAGCUAGUUGGUGGGGUAAAGGCCCACCAAGGCGACGAUGCAUAGCCGACCUGAGAGGGUGAUCGGCCACACUGGGACUGAGACACGGCCCAGACUCCUACGGGAGGCAGCAGUAGGGAAUCUUCCGCAAUGGACGAAAGCCUGACGGAGCAACGCCGCGUGAGUGAAGAAGGAUUUCGGUUCGUAAAGCCCUGUUGUUAGGGAAGAAUGGAUAUGUAGUAACUAUACAUGUAAGAGACGGUACCUAACCAGAAAGCCACGGCUAACUACGUG
rnacentral:rRNA from 1 species